UACGAAGGGGGCUAGCGUUGCUCGGAAUCACUGGGCGUAAAGGGUGCGUAGGCGGGUCUUUAAGUCAGGGGUGAAAUCCUGGAGCUCAACUCCAGAACUGCCUUUGAUACAGAAGAUCUUGAGUUCGGGAGAGGUGAGUGGAACUGCGAGUGUAGAGGUGAAAUUCGUAGAUAUUCGCAAGAACACCAGUGGCGAAGGCGGCUCACUGGCCCGAUACUGACGCUGAGGCACGAAAGCGUGGGGAGCAAACAGG
rnacentral:rRNA from 1 species